UUUUUGUCCCACCAUUUUUGUUCGGUUUUUUUUCGUCCUCUCCCCCACCCCACCCCACGCAGGCCAAAAAAACCCCACACCCGGCAGAAAAAACGCUCCAUCGAUCCUAUCCUUCAUUGCCGACUCCUCUCGAUCCCAUCUCUACUCCAAUACGAUCCGCCGCCGAGAUCCGAGACGAUCCGCCGCUGCCGAGAACCGAUUGGAGCCGCCGCCGGCGCUGGCCAGCCUCCCCACCGAUGUGCGCGCCGGGUCGCCGCUCCCGCUCCCGCAGCCGAGCAUAGCAGCAGCGGCGGAGCCCCAGCCGCCACCACGUUCCUCCUGCUCUCCAGCAAGUCCGCCCAGGACCAGCAGCUCCUCGCCUCCGCCGCCGGCGAGCUCUCUCUGGCGGAGGAGGGCGGGGGCGAGCUCGCCGUCUCCCUCGCGCUCGGCGCCAGUGGGGACGCGGGCUACGAUGCGGCCACCUACAUGGGCGCGCUCCAGGCGGCGCUUCGGGAGGUGGAUGCGUUGGUCGCCGCGGAUGGCAUCCACGCACGACCUCGUGAUACAGAACUUCGCCAAACUUCCGGUGGGCGUCGUGUGCGCCACAUACAUGCAGUUCAAAGGCAAAGGUGCGUCAAAUAUGUAUGCCAAUUGGUGCUUGUUUUUGUUGUCCCUUUUAGUGUGUAUCUCUGAUGAUCUUUCAAUCUCGGUGAUCAAUGUCUGUCACUUUGGUGGGGAGAUGAAUUGUGCUGUUCUGUUUGUUGUAUGUUCAGUUGAUGAUUCGCUUGACAUAUCCACAAGAGUCGGCAGCGACUUGAUUUAUAUUUUCCGCUACUUGUCAAUAUGAUGGCCCGUUGUAUAUAAAUGAGGCAUGGCCAUCACUUAUACUUGGGAACUACUUUUCAGUGAUAGCUGUAUUGACUAAGGGAACUACGGCGGGCUUAUGCUUACUGAACUAUAUUCGAAACUAUCAGAGUGUAUAUCAGAUUAGAGCAGAUUACAGCAGCCUUAAAGAUUGUUGGCCAUUAACGGUUAUCCAUGGCACUAAAACUACUUGAUCUCAAUACAUUCACCUCACAACACUUGUUGGCGAAAACAUGUGCUAUAGCACCAAAGAAGUUGAGGUCAAAUUAAUGAGGUCAUCGACUUGAAGAUUGAUAAAUAUGGUUCUGUUAUUAUGCAGGAGUUGUGUGAUCUGAGGAGAAACUAUUCUCUUGCAAAUCGGAUAAUUGUUGUAGGAAUUAAAAGGCACAUGAUUGUACUGUUGUUCUGGGAUUUCGUUUCUUACGUUCCUCGACCCUAAUGUCUACAUGAGGUGUGAGUUCAACGGAUAAAGGAAAUCACAUUACUAAUAGAAUGAUGCCGCAGCAAAGAAAAUGCUCUCAGCCUUGGACGAUCCAUUCACUCGAUUCUUGAAACCAUUACCUUUUCUGAAGCAAGACUAGCUAGCACCCAAGGUGCCGUGGCAGGUAAAUGACUGUCUAGAGACGUUUUAUCUUGAUAAUUGACAACAUAAGAGUGCAAAAUAUUUGACAACAGAUCGCUUAUGGUAAGACCUAGCUAUUAUCAAUAAUUUUAGUCCAUUAAAUGCGGUCUUAGUGAAAGGGUGUUCUUUUAUCAUGGUUGAAGGUUGCAUGACUUCUGCUAGGUGUUUUGAUACUUUUCGGUCUCUACUUGAAUGUUGCGUACCUAAUUUUUUAGUGGCCAACAAUCUUGCACUGAUUCUUGCUAGGGGUCAUCAAGGAAACUCAAUAGAUGGCUAUUUCAGUGGAGAUUAUACCAGAGAUGUUGUUUUGAAAGUAUAUGCCAGGAGAGAAAGAUAUACUUGAAACCCGAUGAGGUCAAUGAUGUGGAGAUUUUACCAGAGAUGUUGUUUUCAAGUAAGAUUUUGUGUGAGAUUAUACCGAUCGCACCAGCACGCCACAUUGUUGCUCCACGGCAAAGGCAGCGAGACUGAUCCCGGAGAGGAGAACAAGCCUCCGAGCACGUGCUCGUCAACUCCAUGCCGGCCGCUCCAAGCGCCCCUGCUUCGUGUCUUCAAGGCAGGCGCCGAGAUAGCCUUUGCAGCGAGCUGUGGUGUGUGGACUCUGCGGCGAGAUGGGAUUCAGAAUCCUUUUCCGUGAUAGCACAUCCAAGGAAGGAAGGAGAUUGAGGUUGGCACCUCCUGAAGGCAUGCAUGCUCUUCACCGAGAGAGGGAAGGGCAUCUUUUUCUUGGGUUGCAGUUUCCACCUUGUUGUUGGGUGAGCUGAUUCGUUGUUUGUCACAGCUCUUGUGGAUAAUCAGACAUGGGGUGCAUGGCAAAAUUAGGACAGACCGAAGGCAGCAAAUUCCGUGUUGGCCGUGCACUUUGAGGAGAAGACAUUGUCUUUGUAUAAGUGCCCCUACAAUCAUCUCUUUACAGCAGAGAUAAGGCCUUCAGAUAGAUAUGGCCACAUAAAUCGCACCGAUGGAUCCAGUCCUUCGCUAGGUCCAACCUACCCUGCACCAGCCUCAAGCACGUUAUUCAGUCAACGCAUAUUCUGUCUUUUGGCAUGUGUAUGCUUGCUCUUGUGCUCAUGUUGUAAUCGUGACCUGUAAUCAGUCCAUGAUCCUUGUGUGACCAGAAGUUGGGCAUAACUGCAUUGUUACUGAGAAGAUGUGAAUAUUAACUUAGGGAUCGGAGCUGAAGCUCUAGCAGAUAGCAAAGAUAUGAAGUCUGUGCUCUGUCUUAUGUUUGCAAGUAUAUUGAUGUAACUUCACAUCUUGAAUGGAGUCACUCCUAUGUGUACUGCCGCUGUAAUUACACAACAUGAAUUUUCCGUUUUUGUGAUCA